rnacentral:rRNA from 1 species
GACGAACGCUGGCGGCGUGCUUAACACAUGCAAGUCGAGCGAUGAAACUUCCUUCGGGAAGUGGAUUAGCGGCGAACGGGUGAGUAACACGUGAGUAACCUGCCUCAAAGAGGGGGAUAGCCUUCCGAAAGGAAGAUUAAUACCGCAUAACAUAUAGAAAACACAUGUUUUUUAUAUCAAAGGAGCAAUCCGCUUUGAGAUGGACUCGCGGCGCAUUAGCUAGUUGGUAGGGUAAUGGCCUACCAAGGCAACGAUGCGUAGCCGACCUGAGAGGGUGAUCGGCCACAUUGGGACUGAGACACGGCCCAG